rnacentral:rRNA from 1 species
UUCCGGUUGAUCCUGCCGGACCCCACUGCUAUCGGGGUGGGACUAAAACGUGCAAGUCGAGCGCCUCCAAGCUAUGGUGAAGGCGCGGCAAACGGCUCAGUAACACGUGGCCAACCUACCCUUGGGACGGAGACAACCCCGGGAAACUGGGGCUAAUCCCCGAUAGGUAAGGAGCCCUGGAAUGGGUCUUUGUUGAAAGGGCGUUUAGACCAUGCUUCUUGACGUCGCCCAAGGAUGGAGCCGCGACCGAUCAGGUAGUUGGUGAGGCAACGGCUCACCAAGCCUAUAACCGGUACGGGCCGUGAGAGCGGGAGCCCGGAGAUGGGCACUGAGACAAGGGCCCAGGCCCUACGGGGCGCAGCAGUUGCGAAAACUCCGCAAUGCGCGAAAGCGUGACGGGGCUACCCCGAGUGCCGCCCGUUGAGGGCGGCUUUUCCACGGUGUAAGGAGCUGUGGGAAUAAGGAGAGGGCAAGACUGGUGUCAGCCGCCGCGGUAAUACCAGCUCUCCGAGUGGUGGGGACGAUUAUUGGGCUUAAAGCGUUCGUAGCCGGCUUAACAAGUCUUCCGUUAAAUCCAACGAUCUAAUCGUUGGGCUGCGGGAGAUACUGUUGGGCUAGGAGGCGGGAGAAGCCGACGGUAUUCUCGGGGUAGGGGUGAAAUCCUGUAAUCCCGGGAGGACCACCAGUGGCGAAGGCGGUCGGCUAGAACGCGCUCGACGGUGAGGGACGAAAGCUGGGGGAGCGAACCGGAUUAGAAACCCGGGUAGUCCCAGCUGUAAACGAUGCGGGCUAGGUGUUGGGGUGGCCACGAGCCACUUCAGUGCCGCAUGGAAAGCAAUUAAGCCCGCCGCCUGGGGAGUACGGGCCGCAAGGCUGAAACUUAAAGGAAUGGCGGGGGGAGCACACAAGGCGUGAAGCUGCGGUUUAAUGGAUCAACGC